GAUGAACGCUGGCGGCGUGCCUAAUACAUGCAAGUCGAGCGAACGGACGAGAAGCUUGCUUCUCUGAUGUUAGCGGCGGACGGGUGAGUAACACGUGGAUAACCUACCUAUAAGACUGGGAUAACUUCGGGAAACCGGAGCUAAUACCGGAUAAUAUUUUGAACCGCAUGGUUCAAAAGUGAAAGACGGUCUUGCUGUCACUUAUAGAUGGAUCCGCGCUGCAUUAGCUAGUUGGUAAGGUAACGGCUUACCAAGGCAACGAUGCAUAGCCGACCUGAGAGGGUGAUCGGCCACACUGGAACUGAGACACGGUCCAGACUCCUACGGGAGGCAGCAGUAGGGAAUCUUCCGCAAUGGGCGAAAGCCUGACGGAGCAACGCCGCGUGAGUGAUGAAGGUCUUCGGAUCGUAAAACUCUGUUAUUAGGGAAGAACAUAUGUGUAAGUAACUGUGCACAUCUUGACGGUACCUAAUCAGAAAGCCACGGCUAACUACGUGCCAGCAGCCGCGGUAAUACGUAGGUGGCAAGCGUUAUCCGGAAUUAUUGGGCGUAAAGCGCGCGUAGGCGGUUUUUUAAGUCUGAUGUGAAAGCCCACGGCUCAACCGUGGAGGGUCAUUGGAAACUGGAAAACUUGAGUGCAGAAGAGGAAAGUGGAAUUCCAUGUGUAGCGGUGAAAUGCGCAGAGAUAUGGAGGAACACCAGUGGCGAAGGCGACUUUCUGGUCUGUAACUGACGCUGAUGUGCGAAAGCGUGGGGAUCAAACAGGAUUAGAUACCCUGGUAGUCCACGCCGUAAACGAUGAGUGCUAAGUGUUAGGGGGUUUCCGCCCCUUAGUGCUGCAGCUAACGCAUUAAGCACUCCGCCUGGGGAGUACGACCGCAAGGUUGAAACUCAAAGGAAUUGACGGGGACCCGCACAAGCGGUGGAGCAUGUGGUUUAAUUCGAAGCAACGCGAAGAACCUUACCAAAUCUUGACAUCCUUUGACAACUCUAGAGAUAGANCCUUCCCCUUCGGGGGACAAAGUGACAGGUGGUGCAUGGUUGUCGUCAGCUCGUGUCGUGAGAUGUUGGGUUAAGUCCCGCAACGAGCGCAACCCUUAAGCUUAGUUGCCAUCAUUAAGUUGGGCACUCUAAGUUGACUGCCGGUGACAAACCGGAGGAAGGUGGGGAUGACGUCAAAUCAUCAUGCCCCUUAUGAUUUGGGCUACACACGUGCUACAAUGGACAAUACAAAGGGCAGCGAAACCGCGAGGUCAAGCAAAUCCCAUAAAGUUGUUCUCAGUUCGGAUUGUAGUCUGCAACUCGACUACAUGAAGCUGGAAUCGCUAGUAAUCGUAGAUCAGCAUGCUACGGUGAAUACGUUCCCGGGUCUUGUACACACCGCCCGUCACACCACGAGAGUUUGUAACACCCGAAGCCGGUGGAGUAACCUUUUAGGAGCUAGCCGUCGAAGGUGGGACAAAUGAUUGGGGUGAAG
rnacentral:rRNA from 1 species